CAUCUCCACACUGACCCUUUCUUAACCUUAAACCAGUUGUCUCCCUAAUUUCCUCUUCAGCUUUCUUUGGCGGACGCCACCAAUCUUCCCCUGCCGUCACACUUACACUCGAGAGUCAAGCGCUCCAACCUGUGCAGCUCCUCCCUCUUCCUUCACUUGCGGCUAUAUCUUCACUUCUAUUCGUUGCCCUAUCCUCUCUACGGCCCUCUUCUCAGGAGCCUUCACCUUCUCCAGUAAUGUCUUUUCCUCCAUCGACAAUCUCGGUGCUGCCAUUUGAAGCUCCUUCACCUGUUGAAAACCGCGCCAUUUCGAACAGAUUUGAAGCUCCUUUACCGGUUGAAAACAGCACCGUCUCUUCGUUGCCGUUUUGGUGAUAUAGAGAGAGUUGGUCGACGCAUGGGACUUGGGUGCUCGUCUUCAAGAGAGAGAACAUGAAGAAGAAAAAGAGAGAGAACAGGGAAGAGAGAGAGAGAGACGUGGACAAAAAAGGGAAACGAGCAGCUUAUGCGCCUAGCAAACGAGCUUCUCACGAGCUCGAGUCUUGAGAGUUGAAGGCUAAUUUGUUGGGAGUGAAAGAACUAUUCUUUUUUCCCC
rnacentral:misc_RNA from 1 species